CACGGGUGAGUAACGCGUAUGCAACCUGCCUUUGACAGAGGGAUAGCCCAUGGAAACGUGGAUUAAUACCUCAUAGUCUCUUUUUUCUUCCUGGGAAAUAGAGUAAAACGUCAGUGGUCAAAGAUGGGCAUGCGUCCUAUUAGGCAGUUGGCGGGGUAACGGCCCACCAAACCGAUGAUAGGUAGGGGUUCUGAGAGGAAGGUCCCCCACACUGGUACUGAGACACGGACCAGACUCCUACGGGAGGCAGCAGUGAGGAAUAUUGGUCAAUGGUCGAGAGACUGAACCAGCCAAGUCGCGUGAGGGAAGACUGCCCUAUGGGUUGUAAACCUCUUUUCUACUGGGAGAAUAAGCCUUAUGUAUAAGGUGAUGACAGUACAGUAGGAAUAAGCAUCGGCUAACUCCGUGCCAGCAGCCGCGGUAAUACGGAGGAUGCGAGCGUUAUCCGGAUUUAUUGGGUUUAAAGGGUGCGUAGGCGGCUUUAUAAGUUAGUGGUAAAAUUUCGGAGCUUCAC
rnacentral:rRNA from 1 species